GGAGCAACACAAGUUCCUUCACACUUGAGGACUGGAUAGUAAAGAGGCUGACACUAUGAGGUGGAUGAAUAAAAAGAACAGGAAGAAUGUGUUCUACAACUGCCGUGCGUGUUGGCUGGAAGAGGAGGAGGAAGACAGGAGAGGUGAUGGGGGUCUGGUGUUUGCAUUAGGUUACCACUCAGGGAAAGCAAAGGCUGAACAACCAUGGCUCUCAAGACCGAGGAAGACAGUGUGGUGCAGAACUCCCCAGGCAGCAUUAAUCUGCAAUGCUACGCUUAUGCCCUAUGGCUCAGUGACACCAGUGUCUUCGUCAAGCCCCAGGACACUUCCGGACAUACCAAAUCAGUUCACUGACCAGCAUCACUUCAAGUUUUACCAGCUACUUUUCAUCCAGAAACUGCAUAAUCAUAAUCAUGCUGCUGUCAUCCUCCUUUGAAGACAUUAGUUCUAGGAGAAUGCCUUCUCCAUUCUCUUGGCAGCUAAGCCUAUAGCACAUCAUCAUCUCCUCUACUCCUUGACCCUAAACAAAGACCCUGUUUUAUCAUAUGACCUCCUGGGUUUUUUUUCAUCUAAACUCUUUGCUCCAUAUUUUGAGCCAUAUUAUUAUAGAUCCCAUGGAAUGUUUGAAUACUGCAAUGUUCAACUUCUCUUUUCAUGGCAUUGCUUCCCUAUGAAUACUGCAAGUAUAGCGGGGAAAAGAAUUACUUGUCCAUGGGCCACCUUGAGAAACAACAUUAGCCUGCAAAUAAAUGACAUGAAACUCAACA
rnacentral:lncRNA from 1 species